rnacentral:rRNA from 1 species
ACGAACGCUGGCGGCGUGCUUAACACAUGCAAGUCGAACGGAAAGGCCCUGCUUUUGUGGGGUGCUCGAGUGGCGAACGGGUGAGUAACACGUGAGUAACCUGCCCUUGACUUUGGGAUAACUUCAGGAAACUGGGGCUAAUACCGGAUAGGAGCUCCUGCUGCAUGGUGGGGGUUGGAAAGUUUCGGCGGUUGGGGAUGGACUCGCGGCUUAUCAGCUUGUUGGUGGGGUAGUGGCUUACCAAGGCUUUGACGGGUAGCCGGCCUGAGAGGGUGACCGGCCACAUUGGGACUGAGAUACGGCCCAGACUCCUACGGGUGGCAGCAGUGGGGAAUAUUGCACAAUGGGCGGAAGCCUGAUGCAGCAACGCCGCGUGCGGGAUGACGGCCUUCGGGUUGUAAACCGCUUUCGCCUGUGACGAAGCGUGAGUGACGGUAAUGGGUAAAGAAGCACCGGCUAACUACGUG